AAGUCGUAACAAGGUUUCCGUAGGUGAACCUGCGGAAGGAUCAUUAACACGUAUCCAACGUACCCACCCCGAGUGCAUCUGUUUUCACCCCCCUCAGUCUCACAUGAAUUGGCUAGUGCCCGCAGUGAGCAGUGGAGAGGGUCGCCGUGUUCACGCACGGCGACACUUGCCAAAGGCAUGACUUACACAAUUGGAGUGAGUUGUUCAAACUGAGGGACCAAUGGUCUUCGCAACAUUUCUCCUCUCACGAGAUGGUGCGAAGAUCGCCACACACACCUAUCACCUUUUUUGCUAGUUGACUUUUUUUAUUCAACGUUGAGCGCCGAUUGCUUGCAAUCGAUUCUCAGCUCGUUUGAAAUAGAAAUUCUUUUAUUUCAAUGAAAGAACAACUCUUAGCAAUGGAUAUCUUGGUUCUC
rnacentral:misc_RNA from 1 species